rnacentral:lncRNA from 1 species
CCAAUGGAGGAAGCGUCUAGGCCAAUGGAGGAAGCGUCUAGACCAAUGUGAAUCCAAGAAAGAUUUGUGUAAGAUACAUGGACGGCCCAUUAAGGGUAGCAUGGUAUUAAUUGUGGUGUAAAUAGCACACAUGGUUUCAUAAGGACUUAACCUAGAUUUGUUAAGAUUUGGUGCGUUUUCUAGAAGGAAUCUUUAGGCUAGGGCCGGCCAUGUGCCUUUAGUCUUUGGAUGUAAUUUGCAUUUCAUUUUGGUAGCAUUAGGGUUGCAUUAUGGUCCUCCUUAGCCUAUAAAAGGAGGAGCCUACACCUUGUAUUUUCAAGUUU